UGCAGGGACAAAUACUGUGCGUGGAUCGA
rnacentral:piRNA from 1 species